UACGUAGGGUGCGAGCGUUAAUCGGAAUUACUGGGCGUAAAGCGUGCGUAGGCGGUUCGUUAAGUUCGUUGUGAAAGCCCCGGGCUCAACCUGGGAAUGGCAAUGGAAACUGGCGGGCUGGAGUAUGGCAGAGGGGGGUGGAAUUCCGCGUGUAGCAGUGAAAUGCGCAGAGAUGCGGAGGAACACCGAUGGCGAAGGCAGCCCCCUGGGCCAAUACUGACGCUCAGGCACGAAAGCGUGGGGAGCAAACAGG
rnacentral:rRNA from 1 species